GUUUCAGCAAAACUCAAAAAAUCCCAUUUCUCCUUAUCACCUUCUUCAGCCUGCAUUUUCUCUUUUUUGCCAUUUAAGGUGCUGCCUGUAACCUUGGCCUGCAGAAAGACUUGCAUAAAGGCUCUGAAGAAUGUACAGGAUGUGUUGCAAGAGAACAGCUUUUCUGUGUCAACAUUGCCAAGAAGCAACAAAAUAAGUAGACGGCAGAUUUUGCUGGGUUUGGAAGAAAGGCCAGGUGGCAUGGUGGCAUUUCUCAAGGACAGGAGAGUAUGCUGCAAUGCCACACAGAAGGCUUAGUCACACCACUGAGAAAUACAGCACUGGGUACUGCUGCUUGAACUGAAUGGUAGCAACAGAUCGACAGCUACACGCAGUCCAUCACUUUGAAGACUUGUAAAUGUUUACUGACAAAAGCACCAACUCUCAGAAAUCGAGAUAUUUCAAGCUCCAGGAGAGAAUGAACUUCACAGGCCACUCUGCUUGUUUCCCAUCUGAUUCAAGGGGAAAAAUAAAAAGCCCAAGGACUUCUGCCUUGAGUUUUUGCUUCUUAUCCCCAGUAGCUUUCAGUCAUAGACACAAAUUAGCCUUGAUGAAUUGCUCUGGAUGAAUUCCUUAUUGCUUGUUCCCUGCCAAUGCAUCUUCUGAGAAAACAAACUUCUACUCCUCUGCCACACGAGUAGAUGUGCGCCCACUGCACCAAGCAACUCAAAUGAAACGUUCCUUCUGUGAAAAAAAUUGAGAUGACCUUCCAGGUCUCUGUAUCUAUAACAAAAUGUAAUGUAUCAAGAUAUUAAAAUUCUGUAUUUUGAUAUUGGAAGCCUAUUAAAAUAGUACAGAACUGCUU